GCCCCCAAGGAACCUGCUUCCUCUUUUUCCCGGCCUCACCUAAGCGCAGGAGCUCGGUACGUAGCCCUCAGGAGGAGGGGUCGUCGGGGAGAGCCCUAGAGAGACCCAGAGACGGGUUUCAGUGCUCCCGGGAACAUGGGUCUCAAGGUGCCGGCCACAGAUUUUAGGCCAGGGGCCACCUGCCCAGCGCAGGGACAACCAGGCCCACACCCACUGGCGAUCAAACCCGGACAGGUAAAGGGACAGUGUUGGAGAUGCAUCCCAGAGUCUGAGCCGUGCCUCCCGGGGGUCCCCCGAAUCUGGGGGGAUUCUCUUAUCACCGGGACCAGCUCCACCAGGAACGUGGACUGUCCCCGCCGAGCGGGUGUCUCGCUGGGAACUGCAGCUGGACACAGCCUAGCGCUGCACCAGUGGUCUUCAACCCGACUGCUUCCCUCCCGCCUCUCCUUGCUGAUUUUUUUGGCCUCAUCUCCACAGACCUGACGUUCGGAUUCGUCCUCCAGGCUCCUGUCCCUGCACCGUCUCCUGCUCUGGUUGAGACCCACACGGCCUGGGUCACGGGCCCUAAACCCCAGCCAGUCAGACUGGCAGCUCACCUUUUAUUAUUUAACUAAUUUAUGUAUUUAACUUAUUUUAGAUUUAUUUUUGUUAGUAUUUAUUUUUAUUUAUGAAUUUAGCUUAAAAUUAUGUUUUAUUUAUUUAAGUUAUUUAUCACUUAUUUAAAGUGCUCUACUAUGUAACUUUAAUCCCUUAUUUAUCUAAUUUAUUUAAUUGUAAAAUAACUAAUUUAUCACUUAUUUAUCAUUUAAUUUAUUAUUUAUCUAGAUGUUUUAUCUAAAUUUAUUUUUAUAUUUUUAUAAUAGCUAAUUUAACUAAACUAAUUUAUUUUACUAAUUUACCACUUAUUUAAAUGCCUAACUUAUUUUAGUUUUAAAAAUAGCUUUUUUUACUUGUUAUUUUAUUUAAUUUAUUUGCUAAUUUAACUGGUAUUUUUGUAUGUUUACAUAUUUUGUUUCUAUUUACAUUCUUGAUUUUGUAUUAGGUGUUUUUAAAUAUCUUUGCUUUUGUUUUACUUUGACGAUUUUGCUUCUGUGAAUUUAGUUUUAUGUUUUGCCUUGAUUUUAUUGUAAUUCAUUUGAGAGUGAUAAUUUUGUUGGUUUGGGGUCACACCCAUCUGUACUGGGCGGGCUCAUUCCUGUUGUACUUGGGGGCUCUGGGGGUUCUGGGGGAUCAAA